UGGGGAAUAUUGCACAAUGGGGGAAACCCUGAUGCAGCGACGCCGCGUGAGUGAAGAAGUAUUUCGGUAUGUAAAGCUCUAUCAGCAGGGAAGAAAAUGACGGUACCUGACUAAGAAGCCCCGGCUAACUACGUGCCAGCAGCCGCGGUAAUACGUAGGGGGCAAGCGUUAUCCGGAUUUACUGGGGGUAAAGGGAGCGUAGGUGGUUCGGCAAGUCAGAUGUGAAAGCCCGGGGCUCAACCCCGGGACUGCAUUUGAAACUGUCGGACUGGAGUGCAGGAGAGGUAAGUGGAAUUCCUAGUGUAGCGGUGAAAUGCGUAGAUAUUAGGAGGAACACCGGUGGCGAAGGCGGGUCUCUGGGCAGUAACUGACGCUGAGGAGCGAAAGCGUGGGGAGCGAACAGG
rnacentral:rRNA from 2 species